rnacentral:miRNA from 1 species
CCAGCGCUGCACUCAAUUACG